rnacentral:rRNA from 1 species
GACGAACGCUGGCGGCGUGCCUAAUACAUGCAAGUAGAACGCUGAAGAGAGGAGCUUGCUCUUCUUGGAUGAGUUGCGAACGGGCGAGUAACGCGUAGGUAACCUGCCUGGUAGCGGGGGAUAACUAUUGGAAACGAUAGCUAAUACCGCAUGACAUUGAUUAUCGCAUGAUAAUUGAUUGAAAGAUGCAAUUGCAUCACUACCAGAUGGACCUGCGUUAUAUUAGCUAGUUGGUGAGGUAACGGCUCACCAAGGCGACGAUACAUAGCCGACCUGAGAGGGUGAUCGGCCACACUGGGACUGAGACACGGCCCAGACUCCUACGGGAGGCAGCAGUAGGGAAUCUUCGGCAAUGGGGGGAACCCUGACCGAGCAACGCCGCGCGAGUGAAGAAGGUUUUCGGAUCGUAAAGCUCUGUUGUAAGAGAAGAACGGGUGUGAGAGUGGAAAGUUCACACUGUGACGGAUCU